UGACAAGUAAGCAGGUGACAUACCUGUGGU
rnacentral:sRNA from 1 species